rnacentral:rRNA from 1 species
UUUUUAAUAUAUUUUUGCUCCACGCGAGAAAGAUGCGUACGUGCGCGGAAUAUAUUAAGCACGGUUCCUUAUUUCCGAGUUCUCAUGCUGAUCAGCUUGAUAUAUUAUACGGGUUUUUUCGACAUCGUAUGCAAAAGUUAUAGCCGUUUUACUUUUUCAUAACACUUUUUUGCAAAACAUGUCAAAAUUUAUGUUUUUGAAUUUUCCUAACUAAUAGAUGUAGUAACAUAAAUACAUCUCGAAGGAUUUUAAUUUUUGAAGUUUUUAUCAUUUUCUUUUCUUUUUUUCAAAACUAAAAUGGCGAUAGGGGGGGCAGCAUAAUGGACGAAGGCGGGGGUAACAUGUCGGAUGCGAUCAUACCAGCACUAAAGCACCGGAUCCCAUCCUGGGAAGUCCUCGUGUUGCAUUCCC